GCUUUAGUUGUGGCUGUGCUUAUAUUUGUCAGAGGGAGAAUAAAAUAAUUUGCAAGUGAUUUAAAAAGUGAUGCUUACACCUAAAAUUUUUUGUUUUUCCAAUUAGCAUUGAAUAAUAAUGAAAUUCAGGAAGAGUUUUGUCUUUUAUUCAUAUGUGCUUAUGUUUAUUUUUUUCUUUAUGUCAUCUCUAUGAGUGGAUUGGAGCAAUUUGGGGAAGCUGAGAGACAAGCAGCCUAGGAAGAGAGAAGAAAAAACCACACCACAAGAUGUGAUACAAAAGAGAACCAGUCAGAGCACCAGUAGGAGUACAACAAUUCGUGUGGAAUCUGUGUACAUCUUGAACUUGAAACACUAUCUCCACAUCUGCUUCUGGAGAUGCAACUGGUGACGAUGAGAUGUAAAAUGCACCCAGGGUCACUGUCUUGAAUUGUCACGCUGACCACAUGCUUUUUAGACACCUGAACAAGACACCGAGAGAGGGCCCACCUAAAGAUGGAUAUUCUGCUGAUCUUAAAGGUGUUCAACAACAGUUUUGGGCUGUUCAGCUCUACCAAGAAGUGUCAGAACAGAAAAAAAGACA